CGAAAGCAAAGAGCCAAUUAGCAGCCAACCUUCGCCCCCACGUAAGCUUCUUCUUCUUUGCUCAGUACAACAACAACUGCAGGGCAGUACAAACGAAUUCAUAGUACAGACGCGGCUGUACGAGGCGAGUACGAAACCUCAAUGUACUCUCCCAAAGCUGAAAGCCCAAACCCCAAUCUCCAACGAUCUCCUUCUUCUUGCCUUUGCAAGUACAAGUUGUGCUGCGGGGAGUACACUCGCAACCCCAAUCUUCCCAGCCCAAUGGUUACGUCUAUUGCCUAUUUAUAGUCUGGAUGCUCGUCGGAAAUUUUAUAUCAUCAAAUUCUCGCCCCGAUCGGAGCCAAAACAUCGUCGAUGUCACGGGUGGAUGAGCCCCACAGGGUUGACCUGAGACCACAUGUGCCCUUUGCGUUCUUGCCGGGGCCGGAUCAACAUCUUCCCGGACUCCGUGUCGUGUGAGAUGUGUUCUCAGGUCGCCCCUGCCAGGCUUUCCUCCACCGGCUUAAUUAGCAGUGUUCGCCUUUCGGUUGCCAUUGUCCCACGGGAGAUUUUCUCAUAAUUAGGACAUAUCUUUACGCUUUUUAGAUUUGAUUAAUUUUUCAUGGUGAAGAAACCUCCUACCAAUAAUGGGCUAAUCCUCCAUCGACUGUGAAAGGCAGAAUCCGACUCUCGUGCCGCGGAAAAUUGAACCCUCGACUUCAUGCUAGAAGUGACGCGGGGCUUACCACUGCCAUAAACACCUCCCGUAAUCAGACCACAGUGGAAUUCACCUUUUCCAUGAUGGCAGGGGCAAAUUAUCCCAAUCUUGAUUUCACUUUUCCUUUAUGAGUUGCAAUCAUUGACAUUGUAAUUAUAAAAAAGGCUGAAUGAUUGAAUUCGGUUUUAUGAUUGAUUAUUUUCAUCGAA